AGUACUAAUUACACAAAAAAAUAUUUUUAACGUCGUCAAGAAAAAACUAAACCUAAAUCAUAAUCCCUAAACCCUAAAUUUUAAAAUCUAAACUCUUGGGUUAACCUUAAACUCUUGGCUAAACUUAAACCCUCGAAUAAAUCCUAAACUCUAAAUCAAAAAAUACUAAACACUAAAACACUCAAGGGUUUAGGGUUUAGGGUUUAGGGUUUAUGGUUUAGGAUUUAGGGUUUAGGGUUUUAAUGUUUAGUGUUUCUGAUUUAGAGUUUCUGAUUUAUCUAAGGGUUUAAGGUUUGCCUAAAGGUUUUGAGUUUUGAAUUUAGGGUUUAAGGAUUAGGAUUUAGAGUUUAGUGUUUUGCUGAUGACUUUUUAAAUUUUUUUUCUAUAACUACUAUUUUUUAUAUAUUUUUAUUUUAAAAACAUAAUAUAACUUGACAAUAUUUUGUUUCUUUUUAUAAAAGAUACCGAAUUUGAAAUAAUGAAAUAUAUUGGUUGGUUAAUCUAGAGGUUCACCCUAGAAUAACUCUAUUAUUAAAAGAGUAAUU
rnacentral:lncRNA from 1 species